rnacentral:rRNA from 1 species
CCUACGGGAGGCAGCAGUAGGGAAUCUUCCACAAUGGGCGAAAGCCUGAUGGAGCAACGCCGCGUGGGUGAAGAAGGUCUUCGGAUCGUAAAACCCUGUUGUUAGAGAAGAAAGUGCGUGAGAGUAACUGUUCACGUUUCGACGGUAUCUAACCAGAAAGCCACGGCUAACUACGUGCCAGCAGCCGCGGGAAUACGGAGGUGGCAAGCGUUAUCCGGAUUUAUUGGGCGUAAAGGGAACGCAGGCGGUCUUUUAAGUCUGAUGUGAAAGCCUUCGGCUUAACCGGAGUAGUGCAUUGGAAACUGGGAGACGUGAGUGCAGAAGAGGAGAGUGGAACUCCAGGUGUAGCGGUGAAAUGCGUAGAGAUAUGGAAGAACACCAGUGGCGAAAGCGGCUCUCUGGUCUGUAACUGACGCUGAGGUUCGAAAGCGUGGGUAGCAAACAGGAUUAGAUACCCCUGUAGUC